UACGUAGGGUCCGAGCGUUGUCCGGAAUUACUGGGCGUAAAGAGCUCGUAGGUGGUUUGUCGCGUUGUUCGUGAAAACUCACAGCUUAACUGUGGGCGUGCGGGCGAUACGGGCAGACUUGAGUACUGCAGGGGAGACUGGAAUUCCUGGUGUAGCGGUGAAAUGCGCAGAUAUCAGGAGGAACACCGGUGGCGAAGGCGGGUCUCUGGGCCGACACUGACACUGAGAGACGAAAGCUAGGGGAGCGAAUGGG
rnacentral:rRNA from 1 species